ensembl:lncRNA
CCCCCUGUAUAUAGCCUCCACAUUGACUCUGUACUGGUACACCCUGUAUAUAGCCUCCACAUUGACUCUGUACUGGUACACCCUGUAUAUAGCCUCCACAUUGACUCUGUACUGGUACACCCUGUAUAUGGCCUUCACAUUGACCCUGUACUGGUACCCCCUGUAUAUAGCCUCCACAUUGACUCUGUACUGGUACACCCUGUAUAUAGCCUCCACAUUGACUCGGUACUGGUACCUCCUGUAUAUAGCCUCCACAUUGACUCUGUACUGGUACCUCCUGUAUAUAGCCUCCACAUUGACUCUGUACUGGUACCUCCUGUAUAUAGCCUCCACAUUGACUCUGUACUGGUACCCCCUGUAUAUAGCCUCCACAUUGACUCUGUACUGGUACCCCCUGUAUAUAGCCUCCACAUUGACUCUGUACCAGUACCCCCUGUAUAUAGCCUCCACAUUGACUCUGUACUGGUACCCCCUGUAUAUUGUCUCCACAUUGACUCUGUACUAGUACCCCCUGUAUAUAGUCUCCACAUUGACUCUGUACUGGUACCCCCUGUAUAUAGCCUCCACAUUGACUCUGUACUGGUACCCCCUGUAUAUAGCCUCCACAUUGACUCUGUACUGGUACCCCCUGUAUACAGUCUCCACAUUGACUCUGUACCAGUACCCCCUGUAUAUAGCCUCCACAUUGACUCUGUACCGGUACCUCCUGUAUAUAGCCUCCACAUUGACUCUGUACCAGUACCCCCUGUAUAUAGUCUCCACAUUGACUCUGUACCAGUACCCCCUGUAUAUAGCCUCCACAUUGACUCUGUAUUGGUACCCCCUGUAUAUAGUCUCCACAUUGACUCUGUACCGGUACCUCCUGUAUAUAGCCUCCACAUUGACUCUGUACUGGUACCCCCUGUAUAUAGUCUCCACAUUGACUCUGUACCAGUACCCCCUGUAUAUAGCCUCCACAUUGACUCUGUACUGGUACCCCCUGUAUAUAGCCUCCACAUUGACUCUGUACUGGUACCCCCUGUAUAUAGCCUCCACAUUGACUCUGUACCAGUACCCCCUGUAUAUAGUCUCCACAUUGACUCUGUACUGGUACCCCCUGUAUAUAGCCUCCACAUUGACUCUGUACUGGUACCCCCUGUAUAUAGCCUCCACAUUGACUCUGUACUGGUACCUCCUGUAUAUAGCCUCCACAUUGACUCUGUACUGGUACCCCCUGUAUAUAGUCUCCACAUUGACUCUGUACCAGUACCCCCUGUAUAUAGCCUCCACAUUGACUCUGUACUGGUACCCCCUGUAUAUAGCCUCCACAUUGACUCUGUACUGGUACCCCCUGUAAAUAGCCUCCACAUUGACUCUGUACCAGUACCCCCUGUAUAUAGUCUCCACAUUGACUCUGUACUGGUACCCCCUGUAUAUAGCCUCCACAUUGACUCUGUACUGGUACCCCCUGUAUAUAGCCUCCACAUUGACUCUGUACUGGUACCCCCUGUAUAUAGCCUCCACAUUGACUCUGUACUGGUACCCCCUGUAUAUAGCCUCCACAUUGACUCUGUACUGGUACCUCCUGUAUAUAGCCUCCACAUUGACUCUGUACUGGUACCCCCUGUAUAUAGUCUCCACAUUGACUCUGUACCAGUACCCCUUGUAUAUAGCCUCCACAUUGACUCUGUACUGGUACCCCCUGUAUAUAGCCUCCACAUUGACUCUGUACUGGUACCCCCUGUAUAUAGCCUCCACAUUGACUCUGUACCAGUACCCCCUGUAUAUAGUCUCCACAUUGACUCUGUACUGGUACCCCCUGUAUAUAGCCUCCACAUUGACUCUGUACUGGUACCCCCUGUAUAUAGCCUCCACAUUGACUCUGUACUGGUACCCCCUGUAUAUAGUCUCCACAUUGACUCUGUACCAGUACCCCCUGUAUAUAGCCUCCACAUUGACUCUGUACUGGUACCCCCUGUAUAUAGCCUCCACAUUGACUCUGUACUGGUACCCCCUGUAUAUAGCCUCCACAUUGACUCUGUACUGGUACCCCCUGUAUAUAGCCUCCACAUUGACUCUGUACUGGUACCCCCUGUAUAUAGCCUCCACAUUGACUCUGUACUGGUACCUCCUGUAUAUAGCCUCCACAUUGACUCUGUACUGGUACCCCCUGUAUAUAGUCUCCACAUUGACUCUGUACCAGUACCCCUUGUAUAUAGCCUCCACAUUGACUCUGUACUGGUACCCCCUGUAUAUAGCCUCCACAUUGACUCUGUACUGGUACCCCCUGUAUAUAGCCUCCACAUUGACUCUGUACCAGUACCCCCUGUAUAUAGUCUCCACAUUGACUCUGUACUGGUACCCCCUGUAUAUAGCCUCCACAUUGACUCUGUACUGGUACCCCCUGUAUAUAGCCUCCACAUUGACUCUGUACUGGUACCCCCUGUAUAUAGUCUCCACAUUGACUCUGUACCAGUACCCCCUGUAUAUAGCCUCCACAUUGACUCUGUACUGGUACCCCCUGUAUAUAGCCUCCACAUUGACUCUGUACUGGUACCCCCUGUAUAUAGCCUCCACAUUGACUCUGUACUGGUACCCCCUGUAUAUAGCCUCCACAUUGACUCUGUACUGGUACCCCCUGUAUAUAGCCUCCACAUUGACUCUGUACCGGUACCCCCUGUAUAUAGCCUCCACAUUGACUCUGUACUGGUACCCCCUGUAUAUAGUCUCCACAUUGACUCUGUACCAGUACCCCCUGUAUAUAGUCUCCACAUUGACUCUGUACUGGUACCCCCUGUAUAUAGCCUCCACAUUGACUCUGUACCAGUACCCCCUGUAUAUAGUCUCCACAUUGACUCUGUACUGGUAUAUAGCCUCCACAUUGACUCUGUACUGGUACCCCCUGUAUAUAGCCUCCACAUUGACUCUGUACUGGUACCCCCUGUAUAUAGCCUCCACAUUGACUCUGUACUGGUACCCCCUGUAUAUAGCCUCCACAUUGACUCUGUACUGGUACCUCCUGUAUACAGCCUCCACAUUGACUCUGUACUGGUACCCCCUGUAUAUAGCCUCCACAUUGACUCUGUACCGGUAACCCCCUUGUAUAUAGCCUCCACAUUGACUCUGUACUGGUACCCCCUGUAUAUAGCCUCCACAUUGACUCUGUACUGGUACCUCCUGUAUACAGCCUCCACAUUGACUCUGUACUGGUACCCCCUGUAUAUAGCCUCCACAUUGACUCUGUACUGGUACCCCCUGUAUAUAGCCUCCACAUUGACUCUGUACUGGUAA